rnacentral:rRNA from 1 species
GAUGAACGCUGGCGGCGUGCCUAAUACAUGCAAGUCGAGCGAACAGAUGAGGAGCUUGCUCCUCUGACGUUAGCGGCGGAAGGGUGAGUAACACGUGGAUAACCUACCUAUAAGACUGGGAUAACUUCGGGAAACCGGAGCUAAUACCGGAUAAUAUAUUGAACCGCAUGGUUCAAUAGUGAAAGACGGUUUUGCUGUCACUUAUAGAUGGAUCCGCGCCGCAUUCGCUAGUUGGUAAGGUAACGGCUUACCAAGGCAACGAUGCGUAGCCGACCUGAGAGGGUGAUCGGCCACACUGGAACUGAGACACGGUCCAGACUCCUACGGGAGGCAGCAGUAGGGAAUCUUCCGCAAUGGGCGAAAGCCUGACGGAGCAACGCCGCGUGAGUGAUGAAGGUCUUCGGAUCGUAAAACUCUGUUAUUAGGGAAGAACAAAUGUGUAAGUAACUAUGCACGUCUUGACGGUACCUAAUCAGAAAGCCACGGCUAACUACGUG